CCAUUGGAAAAAUGUAGUACCUAGGGCGGGUCCAUAGUCCUUCACUGCUUCCCUUGGAUAGGGGAGGGAGGUCCCUCGGCUCAUUGUACUUCCUGGAUGAAGCAAUGCCCCACCCUGCUUCUGCUAGCUCACUGUGGGUUGCACCCACCGCCUAACCAGUUCCAUUGAGAUGAACUGGGUAUGUCAGUUGGAAAUGCAGAAACCACCCACCUUCUCUGUUGGUCUCGCUGGGUGCUGCAAACCAGAGCCGUUUCUAUUCAGCCAUCUUGGCCCUUCCUCCCAUCUGUAUAUCUUAAUUUUACCUUUCUUUUUGAAAGCUAACUUGGGAGAAUAUAGAAUUCUAGGCAAAAUUGUUGAGCCAAGGUCCUGGAACUGUGAGUAAGAAAAUGACAAACCCAUCUCUCAGUGGCACCCCUACUGCAGGAGUUGAGCACUCAUUAGAGAAGGGUAGACUGGGAAGACCCUGCCUAAGAAUCUGAUUUAACCUGUGGUGCAGAAAAGCACUAAUUUUGAUGUUGGGAGGAUUUUGUGCACCCAGCAAGGAGCAGAGCACUCUGCUGACUGCCGUAAUAUAGGUAACAGACCUUAUUUGGUGCAUGUGUCACUAGGCCGCCCAUGUGAUGAGAAAGAUAUGAUGCCAUAGAGAACUGAUCUACUCUAAAUAAUAAAGCCCUGAAAACCAUCAUUCUACUCUUGAUAGAUAACUAGAUAAAAGAAAAUAUGGUAUAUACACACAAUGACAUAGCAUUCAACCUUUAAAAGAAGAAAAUCUUGCCAUAGACAACACUAUGGAUAAACGGAAGGAUAUUAGGCUGAGUGAAAUAAGCCAAUCAGAGGAGAGCAGCAGGAAAUGGACCUGAAUAUCCUCUUAGCAGCCAUGACUGGAUGCCAAAUGGGACAAAGAAGAACUUUGAAUAUGACAUCACACUACCUCCUGCACUGUGGUUCCUGAUAAGAAAUCAGCCAUUCAUCUUACUGAGACUCCUUUAGGAUUGGUGCCCUCAUAAGAAGAGAAAGACACACCAAAGCACUUCCUUUGAUGUGAAGAUACAGUGAUAAGGUAGCACUUUCCAGGGUGUCUGCUGUGUUUCUGAUCCAGGGAGGCACCCGCUGCUGCUCCUGAUGGGCUAGAGGCUCGCCAUUGUUCCUGCUAGGCUAAGUGCCUGGGUUCGUCCUAAUCGAGCUCAACACUAGUUGCUGGGUUCCACGGCUCUCUUCCAUGACCCGCGGCUUCAAAUAGAGCUAGAACACUCACCGCAUGGCCGACGGUUCCAUUCCUUGGAAUCCAUGAGGCCAAGAACCCCAGGUCAGAGACCAAAGGCUUGCCGCCAUCUUGGGAGCAGCCUGCCACCAUCCUGGGAGCUCCAAGAACAAAGAUCCACCUGUAACAAUAAGAUUUAUUGUCCAGAAGAAGAAUGUCACAAGGUCGAUUGAUCAGGAUCUUACUGUUACCCAGGAUGAAGUACUGUGGCAUGAUCACAGCUCCCUGAAGCCUCAACCUCUCCAAGCUCAGGUGAUUUCUUCCACCUCAGCCUCCAAAGUAGCUGGGACUACAGGCAUGCGCCACUACACCCAGCUAAUUUUUUUGUGUGUUUUGGAGAGAUAGGGUUUCAUCAUGUUGCCCAGGCUGGUCUGAAACUCCUGGACUCAAGCAAUCUACCCACCUGGGCCUCCCAAAGUGCUAGGAUUACAGGCAUGAGCCACUACGCCCAGCAAGGUAUUUUCUGAAAAGGUGGAUUGCUGCUUCAAAGGACCUGGACCCAGAGGCCCUGUCCAUGAAUGUUUCUUGCUUGGUUCCGAGGCCACCAAACAUACUGGCUGAGCCUUCUGUAUUCACCCUGGCCUAUCAAUGCCAUCUAUGAGAGCAGCCACACUGAGAGAGCAGCAGCAUGGAGCCUACUCAAGGGAUCCCGGUAGAAGACACAAAACUUCCACGUCAGAGACAAAGGAUUUCAUUACUCAUGGCAAAAGCAGGAAUCAGAGCUUCACAUUUGCUGGUGUCAAUUUCUCAUACCCUCAAAUCCCAGAAGCAUGACACAAAAGAGUCCAUGAUGGAUGUCUGAAUACACAGUGGGCUGUGUUAGAAGAGAGUAACACUGAGCUCAGGUGAUCUCUGCUUCUGUAGUAAGCUUGCACUUUGUCUCGGGGGAGACAUUCCCUCAUCACUCAAGACUGUUCCCUGCAAACACAACCUUGAAUAAUGGCCCAGAAGAGUGGUGAGAGUUCUAAAUUCCUGGCACUUCCAGCAAGUAUGCUCAGGAACACCAGGGCCCAAAGUGGAUUGCCUCUUCCUAAAAAUAUGUUUAUGACUGAAGCCCUUUCCUUUAAAAUGUUAGGUGAAUAUGGAUCUUUUAUUUGCUGUCCUAUUUCAUUUUCAAUAAUUCUGAGUAUGACUCACCAAAAUGAUUUCACAAAAUAAUCUGUAGUAACCUUCAAUUUAAACAACAAACAAAUAAAAAAAAUUGCUAUGUUAAGUAUAUAUUUGAGAGUGUAAUUGCAGAAUUACAUUCUUCCUUAACAUACAAUGUGAAUGGUUUUAUAAAGUGAUUUGUCAGUUAUUUAUCAUUUGCUUUUCACAAGCGGUGUAUGAAUAUUCCCCUUGCCAUAUGUCUCCACCACCACUUGGUUUUGUCAGACAUUUAUUGUUUGAUAAUCAAAUACUGCAUAAUUAUAUCUGAUUUGGUUGUAAUUUGCAUUUUACUUAUUAUUAAUGAGGUUUAGCAUUGCCAUAUGUGUAUAAGUCAUUUGUUUUUCAUUGUCUGUUAAAUGUCUGCAUAUGACUUUGGCCCGUUUUAAAAUUGAGAUAUUUCUUUCUUUUAGAUUGAUACAUGAAUUAUUUACAUUUGUGAGUUAUGAAUAUUGUCAAUAACGUCUCACUGUAGAUCAAUUUUUCACUGAAUUUCUGGUAUCAUUUUAUAAAUUAAAUUUAUUUUAAUGUUUCAAGUAUUCUAUUUUAAACUGAUAUUUUAUGGUAUUUGUCAUGUAUAAGAACUCAUUCUAGAUCAUUAGUCAUAAAGAUAUUCAUCUAAAUUUUCUUCAAAACUGUUAAAUGUCUUUAACAUUUAAGUCCUAAAUACAUCUGAACUGGUCCAAUAAUCCAAAUGAAUCAAAUAUCUAAGAAAAACUGUAACAAAGGAAGAGACAAAUCUAUAGAGAGUACAUUAUAAAACAUUCUUGAGGGAGAAUCAAUAUGAACCUAAAUUAAUAGAAAACUAUUUAUGGAGGGAAAGACAGUAUGUAAAGAAGCAAAUUAUCUUCAAUUCAUCUGUAAAUUUACUGCAAUCUCAAUAAAAAGUCAAGUAGAAGCUUUUUUGUUGAAAUUGAUAAGCCAAUAAUAAAUUGUAAAUAUUCAAAGAUCUAAUGAUAGCUAAUGCAAUAUUGAAGAUAAACUGAAAUUUUGGAGAAUCAAGACUUAUUUGAGGAUUGCAGUAAUGAAGACAGUGAUUAAUUGUGCAAGAAUAGACAAACCAUCCAAGAAAACAAAAUAGAGAGCUGAAAAGCAGACCCAGGCUUAUAUUGAUCAGUGAUAUAGGUGGCAUAACAGGAGGGUGACAAAAAGACAGUUAUUUCCAUAAAUUGUACUUCAUCAAUUGUAUAUCUGAGAGAGAGAGAAAGAGAGAGAAAUUGUUUUUAUUCAUAGUAUAAUAUAUAAUUGCUUCUAUUCAUAGAGAGAAAGACAGAGAGAUAACUGUUUCUAUUCAUAGUAUAAGCAUCUUAAUUUCAGGUGGUUUUUAGAUUUUUAUGUGAAAGUUAAAAAUAGUAAAUCCUAAGAGAGGAUAAUAUAGAGGACGUUUUCACCACAUGGGGUAUAUAAAGAUUAAUAAAACUGGACACAAAGUCUCUGAUUAUAAAAAAAAUUGACAAAUAUUUUGACUGUAAGAGAUUAUAUUAAUAAAUACACAAUACAAUUUUAAGAGAAAUGAAAUGAGAAAUGAAAAGAGCAGCAGUAGAGUGGGAUGUCAAAGUACAUAUGACUGACAAAAAAUUACAAAAUCAAGACUAAAAUGGCAUACCACUAGAGCAGCUAUAAAUACAAAGAGUAAAAAUGCUCUUCUGUUUGGAGGACGUGAAGCAUGUUCUUGGGCACUGAUUACGUGAGUAGGUAGCUUUUCCUGAUUAUAUCCUCUGCAGAGUUUUCAUAGUGUAUCAUGUCUAGAUCACAACUGGAAAGAUCUAUGGCAAAUUCAUCAUCUGUCAAUGAGCGCAACCAAUAUUUGUUACAAUUUUACCAUGUUUAAUUGUGAAAGAGUUCUUAGAGCAUCAAAACACAUAUCCAGAAAUACUAUCCUCAAGUACCAGGCAAUAUUUAUUUUUUUUCAGUUACUUUUCUGCCCUAUAUUUAUCACUAAGCUCAUAUGAACUUUUAAUUUUUUAAAAAAACCUUUAGGUGUCUGUUUUACUCAUUCCAGAGAGAAGGAACUUAUUGGCACAUGACUGAUUUAUUAAAUACACUCAAUAAAAGUUGGCAUUUUUACAGUCAGCAAGCUCAAUAAAGUUCACAAAUAAAUCUUCUAUAGUUCUCAUAUUUACAUAUUUCUCAUAUUACUCUUUACCUAGGUAUCUAUCAACUUUGAAAGAUCCAAAAAUAGAACAUGAGGGCCAUAAUUGUCUGGAAAUGAGGAGAGGGUAUAUUUCUUUGUGAGAAUUUUUUGUGUAAAUGAGUAAGUUAAGAUGAUAUUAUAAAACCAAUUAUUAUAAAAUUCCUGAGGAUAUCCUCUAUAGCAUGUACUUUGGCAUUGAUUAUCUAUAUGAGUAGGUAGCUUUUCCUGAUUACAUCCUUUAUAAAGUUUUCAUAGCAUAUCAUAGCUAUGAAAAUAUUUUUCAGAAAAAGAUAAACCACACAGGAAUAAAUGAUAAAGUGAAUGAUAACUUUUCAGUUAAAAAAAGAACUAAAUGUACAAUGAAAUUUGGGACUAAAUAAAUGGCACUUCUGCACAAUUCAGAUCUUUUUCCCCCUUAUGCUGAGCCUACUUUGUUGUUUUGCAUAACCUACAACAUGUAGACAUCUCAGUUAGAGACCUCUAUCCCAUACCCUUUUUCCCCAAAAGUUCUUUCCUUUCAUCAGUGAUGGCUGAGUCGAUUCUUAGACUAGUUCCAAUGUAUUCCCUUGAUGUAAUCAUCAGAUCUGUCUCCCCUCAGCACCUUGUUUGGGGAUGCUUCUCAUUCUCUAUGCCUAGGUACAAUUUCAAAUCCAGAGUUGGAGCUGUCAUCUUCAUAAAUUCUCCUUAGAUUAUAGGAGUUCACAAAAUCUUGUCAUUUCUGUGUACUCUUCUCGGUCUUAAGAAAUGUUUCUCCUGGAAUAACCUGUGGUCACCCUCUGAUAGGUAUGUUCUGUUAUUAUGUUUUUGUGUAAAUUUUGUCAAGCUAAUGUAACUGUGAUUUUAUUUCACAUGAUCUAUAGGGCCUUACACAAACCUGAACCUAAUAAAGACAUGUGGGACAUAAUCUCAAAAUGAUAUCACUGAAACUCAUUUCCAACCCAAUUAAACUGUUCUCCUAGGGUUGGUUGACAGUCCAGAAUUAUUAGGCUUCUCAGUGGAGCCAGAACAAUCUGUCCAGUGAUACUUGAUCCGAUCAAGUGUUUUCAUGGGUGGUUUGGAAACCAUGUCUUGCUUUGCAGAUGUUAUUUAUCACAAAGUUGCCCCUAGCCCUUUAAUGUUGAGGAUUUGAUAUUAGUGGAGUUGUGGAAGUGAAAUUAUUAGGGUGUCCUUAAAGUCCUUUUCCAUAAAUGAAUGAUUUAUUGGAGCAAUGAAAGAAAGGAAUAAGUUUGCCUGCUCAAUAUAGCCCGUCAUUUUUGAUGAAUGUGACUCACCUUUCUGUAAGAAGUUCAAUUUAGCACUGGUACCAAUUCUUGAAUUUUAUAGAGAAGGAAAUUGUAAAAUGUCUUAGAAAUGUGGCCACGGAGAGAACAAACUGAGGUUGAAUGAUGCAAAAUCAGAACUACACUGAAUGCAACGUAAUGCCAAUGCUGUUCAAUGCCAAGAGACUUACAGGAUAAAAUUUGGCUUUUUCCUUUUGAAAUAAUAUUAGCUUGCUAUUGAGUAAAAUCAGGUAGCAACACUUCAUAACUCCAUUACCUACCUGUUUUGUAUUCAUUAAAGUGUGGCUUUCUUGGCCUGACUGUCAGUGGUAUGCUGAGAUGGCUUGCCACAGCUCCAGAGUGCAUUGUAUAUAUUUCUUCUUGACUUCACGUUAAGUGACAUUAUGUUGGUAGCUUGGAAUUGGUCAUGAUGAAGCUAUAUAUACCAGGAAAACUGGCACAUGCUGCAAAUGAAGGCUCCUGCUCUUCCAGAGAUCUAACUGUUAAGUAUUUAUCAGCAUACUACUAACCUGUGUUCAAAGGUUGAACUGCAGAAGCCUCU
rnacentral:lncRNA from 10 species